UACGUAGGGGGCAAGCGUUGUCCGGAAUCAUUGGGCGUAAAGAGCGUGUAGGCGGCCCGGUAAGUCCGCUGUGAAAGUCCAGGGCUCAACCCUGGGAUGCCGGUGGAUACUGUCGGGCUCGAGUCCGGAAGAGGAGUGUGGAAUUCCUGGUGUAGCGGUGAAAUGCGCAGAUAUCAGGAGGAACACCAAUGGCGAAGGCAGCACUCUGGGACGUUACUGACGCUGAGACGCGAAAGCGUGGGGAGCAAACAGG
rnacentral:rRNA from 1 species